ensembl:snRNA U6 U6 spliceosomal RNA
GUGCUCACUUUGAUAGCACAUAAACUAAAACUGGAAUGAUCCGGAGAAGAUUAACAUGGUACAUGUCCACGGAUGACAUGCAAGUUCAUAGUGGUUCACAGUUUUCUA